GAUGAACGCUGGCGGCGUGCCUAAUACAUGCAAGUAGAACGCUGAAGCUUGGUGCUUGCACCGAGCGGAUGAGUUGCGAACGGGUGAGUAACGCGUAGGUAACCUGCCUGGUAGCGGGGGUAACUAUUGGAAACGAUAGCUAAUACCGCAUAACAGUCGACAUUGCAUGAUGUUGAUUUGAAAGGGGCAAUUGCUCCACUACCAGAUGGACCUGCGUUGUAUUAGCUAGUUGGUGAGGUAACGGCUCACCAAGGCGACGAUACAUAGCCGACCUGAGAGGGUGAUCGGCCACACUGGGACUGAGACACGGCCCAGACUCCUACGGGAGGCAGCAGUAGGGAAUCUUCGGCAAUGGACGGAAGUCUGACCGAGCAACGCCGCGUGAGUGAAGAAGGUUUUCGGAUCGUAAAGCUCUGUUGUAAGAGAAGAACGAGUGUGAGAGUGGAAAGUUCACACUGUGACGGUAACUUACCAGAAAGGGACGG
rnacentral:rRNA from 1 species